rnacentral:tRNA from 1 species
GGUGGCUCAGUGGUAAAAAGAAUCUGCCUGCCAAGCAGAAGACACAGGUUCAAUCCCUGGGUCC